UACGUAGGGACCGAGCGUUAUCCGGAAUCAUUGGGCGUAAAGAGCUCGUAGGCGGUUCAGAAAGUCGGCUGUGAAAGUCCAAGGCUCAACCUUGGAAAUGCAGUCGAGACUUCUGUGACUAGAGUCUGGUAGAGGAGAAUGGAAUUCCCGGUGUAGCGGUGGAAUGCGCAGAUAUCGGGAGGAACACCAGUAGCGAAGGC
rnacentral:rRNA from 1 species